UAGUGAGUUUGAUCCUGGCUCAGAACGAACGCUGGCGGCAUGCCUAACACAUGCAAGUCGAACGAAGCCUUCGGGCUUAGUGGCGCACGGGUGCGUAACGCGUGGGAAUCUGCCCUUGGGUUCGGAAUAACAGUUAGAAAUGACUGCUAAUACUGGAUGAUGUCUUCGGACCAAAGAUUUAUCGUCCAAGGAUGAGCCCGCGUAGGAUUAGCUUGUUGGUGAGGUAAAGGCUCACCAAGGCGACGAUCCUUAGCUGGUCUGAGAGGAUGAUCAGCCACACUGGGACUGAGACACGGCCCAGACUCCUACGGGAGGCAGCAGUGGGGAAUA
rnacentral:rRNA from 1 species